GGCAAGGGGUUGUUCCAAGUGACAGGAGCUGAAGAGGGAAAUGACUGUCUGCCGAAGGUAGAGUGACCUUGGGAAGGCUCAGGGCCCUGAAGUGUCUGUCACACAGAGAAACUAGUUUGAUGUUCGGGUACAAUAGGGAUGGGGAGGAGCAGUGGCUUUGCAGAAGCUGGGCAGACUGCCAGCUGACUCUACACCGUGGAACCCUUGCUUGUUUGCUGGCCCUGGAAUAGACACUGACAGAGACUUUGGGUGAUCUAGCUGAGGCAACGCACCUCUUUGGCAUGCAACUGGAACUGAAGAGCAACUCCAGAACAAACGAAAGCACAGACUGAUCAAGAAAUGAAAAAAGAGUGAGUGAAAACAUCAUAAACGGGUAAGGGGACAGGAAAAUGAAACUAAAAGACAAUGGAAUUGAAAUGGACUUCCUCUUUAAUGAAACUAAAAGACAAUGGAAUUGAAAUGGAAUUCCUCUUUAAUCAUGCAGGAAUGGUUUCAAACCUGUGUGCUAAACAGCUUAAGACAGUCCACCUACCUUGCAGAAAAUCCAGAAAAAAUAAAAAACAGAAUUGCAGAUUUGCUUAUGAUGAAUGUCUUGAAGGAUUGUUUUAAUAGUAUUUGUGGGGAAAGGGCAUUUUAUUCCAGAAAAUGGAAACAGCCUCUCCUUUUAGGUGUGUCCUAGGAGACGGCCCACAUUCAAACAUCACAGCAGAAUCAAUCCAUUAAAUUACACACACGCUGUGCUAAUUUCAUUUAGUAACAUUGCCACGCACUCACGCACCUGGGUUACGGGUAGCGCACCUGGGACUAAUGGAGGGAUUAAAGCUGUUAGGUACAGUAAUACAUGGCAGGCUUGAGGCAAUUGUCAAAUUAGAAUUUAAUUUUACUUUAUAACUGUGUUGCUCUUGAUAUGGGAAAUGUAGUAUGUCAACAAAAGC